rnacentral:rRNA from 1 species
CUUGGUCAUUUAGAGGAAGUAAAAGUCGUAACAAGGUUUCCGUAGGUGAACCUGCGGAAGGAUCAUUAUAGAAAUAAACCUGAGCAGGCUGUUUGCUGGUCCUCCCAAGGGACAUGUGCACGCUUGUCGUCUUUAUUCUUCCAACUGUGCACAUACUGUAGACCUGGAGCUUUUCUUAUCGUUCGAAUAGAUUGAGGACUGCCGCGGUGCGGCUUUGCCUUGUGUUUCCAGGUCUAUGUCGUAAUACAUUUUCACAACCUGUUUUGGAAUGUGGGGACAAGCAAAUAUACAACUUUCAGCAACGGAUCUCUUGGCUCUCUCAUCGAUGAAGAACGCAGCGAAAUGCGAUAAGUAAUGUGAAUUGCAGAAUUCAGUGAAUCAUCGAAUCUUUGAACACACCUUGCGCUCCUUGGUAUUCCGAGGAGCAUGCCUGUUUGAGUGUCAUUAAUAUAUAUAUCAACCUUCUCUUGUUGAGUGGGUUUGGAUGUGGGGGUUUGCUGGCCUCUUAAAGGGUUCAGCUCCUCUGAAAUGCAUUAGCAGAACAACCCUGUUUCAUUGGUGUGAUAACUAUCUACGCUAUUGAAUGUGAGGGGCAGUUCAGCUUUCUAACAGUCCUUUGGACAAAUCAUCAUUAAUGUUGACCUCAAAUCAGGUAGGACUACCCGCUGAACUUAAGCAUAUCAAUAAGCGGAGGA